rnacentral:rRNA from 1 species
AUACGUAGGGGGCGAGCGUUGUCCGGAAUGACUGGGCGUAAAGGGCGUGUAGGCGGUUGAAUAAGUCUGGAGUGAAAGUCCCGGGUUCAAGUUGGGACCUGCUUUGGAUACUGUUCAACUUGAGUGCGGAAGAGGUAAGUGGAAUUCCCAGUGUAGCGGGGAAAUGCGUAGAUAUUGGGAGGAACACCAGUGGCGAAGGCGACUUACUGGGCCGUAACUGACGCUGAGGCGCGAAAGCGUGGGGAGCGAACAGGAUUAGAUACCCUGGUAGUCCACGCGGUAAACGAUGAAUGCUAGGUGUUGCGGGUAUCGACCCCUGCAGUGCCGGAGUAAACACAAUAAGCAUUCCGCCUGGGGAGUACGGCCGCAAGGUUGAAACUCAAAGGAAUUGACGGGG